rnacentral:rRNA from 1 species
GAUUGAACGCUGGCGGCAGGCUUAACACAUGCAAGUCGAGCGGAGAUGAGGUGCUUGCACCUUAUCUUAGCGGCGGACGGGUGAGUAAUGCUUAGGAAUCUGCCUAUUAGUGGGGGACAACAUUCCGAAAGGAAUGCUAAUACCGCAUACGCCCUACGGGGGAAAGCAGGGGAUCUUCGGACCUUGCGCUAAUGGAUGAGCCUAAGUCGGAUUAGCUAGUUGGUGGGGUAAAGGCCUACCAAGGCGACGAUCUGUAGCGGGUCUGAGAGGAUGAUCCGCCACACUGGGACUGAGACACGGCCCAGACUCCUACGGGAGGCAGCAGUGGGGAAUAUUGGACAAUGGGCGGAAGCCUGAUCCAGCCAUGCCGCGUGUGUGAAGAAGGCCUUUUGGUUGUAAAGCACUUUAAGCGAGGAGGAGGCUACCUGGAUUAAUACUCUAGGAUAGUGGACGUUACUCGCAGAAUAAGCACCGGCUAACUCUGUGCCAGCAGCCGCGGUAAUACAGAGGGUGCGAGCGUUAAUCGGAUUUACUGGGCGUAAAGCGUGCGUAGGCGGCUGAUUAAGUCGGAUGUGAAAUCCCUGAGCUUAACUUAGGAAUUGCAUUCGAUACUGGUCAGCUAGAGUAUGGGAGAGGAUGGUAGAAUUCCAGGUGUAGCGGUGAAAUGCGUAGAGAUCUGGAGGAAUACCGAUGGCGAAGGCAGCCAUCUGGCCUAAUACUGACGCUGAGGUACGAAAGCAUGGGGAGCAAACAGGAUUAGAUACCCUGGUAGUCCAUGCCGUAAACGAUGUCUACUAGCCGUUGGGGCCUUUGAGGCUUUAGUGGCGCAGCUAACG